rnacentral:lncRNA from 1 species
GUAUGAUUCCCUCGGAAAAGGUAUUAACUCUUGCAACAGUCCUAAUCGGUCUUUCUUGUAUUCUGGACUCGAAUCUACAACGCACUAGAACGCCCUUGUUGACGAUCCUUUACUCCGACAGCUUUAGCAAUCUUUCAAGUCUUGCACCCAUUUAUGUUCAACUUCUUAAACCCAGUAAACCAUUAUGAUACCAACUUUCUCUCUCAAGAGUUUCCAUCAACUGGUAAGAACUUGAACAAGAACAAAAAAAAAAUCGAUCAAUCAAAAACUCAAACAACAAAAAUAAUUAGAUUUGAUUAAUAGAUCUGCUAUAACUCCAUUCAAGGUUGGUGCUACAUUAUUAGAAGUAACCCAUUUGAAAGAAACCCAAUUGAGAGAAGACUCAGAAGAGUAUUGGUGAUGGAUUUGAACUUCAAUUUGGAAGAAACCGAUUUGAAGGAAACCAAGACUCAAGAGGGUGAUUUUGUACCCGUUCAACCUUUCUCAUCUGUGUGCAGAACUUGGACGAGGGGGAAUAUAGGGGUGAGAGACAUAUGGUGCUUCAAUGGGUGACAGAGAUGGAAGAACUACAUGAGCAGGAGUUGCAUGAGGUUGAGAGAGAGAGAGAGAGAGAGAGAGAGAGAGAGAGAGAGAGAGAGAGAGAGAGAGAGAGAG